rnacentral:rRNA from 1 species
UUGGAGGGCAAGUCUGGUGCCAGCAGCCGCGGUAAUUCCAGCUCCAAUAGCGUAUAUUAAAGUUGUUGCAGUUAAAAAGCUCGUAGUUGAAUUUCGGGAUCAAGGAAUCGGUCAUGCCUUGGUAUGUACUGGUUUUAUUGGUUCUCACCUUCUAAAGAACCAUAAUGUCAUUCAUUUGAUGUUAUGGGGAAUUAGGACUGUUACCUUGAAAAAAUUAGAGUGUUUAAAGCAGGCUUACGCUUGAAUACAUUAGCAUGGAAUAAUGAAAUAGGACAUCAGAUUCUAUUUUGUUGGUUUCUAGGAUCGAUGUAAUGAUUAAUAGGGAUAGUUGGGGGCAUUAGUAUUCAAUUGUCAGAGGUGAAAUUCUUGGAUUUAUUGAAGACUAACUACUGCGAAAGCAUUUGCCAAGGAUGUUUUCAUUAAUCAAGAACGAAAGUUAGGGGAUCGAAGACGAUCAGAUACCGUCGUAGUCUUAACCAUAAACUAUGCCGACUAGGGAUCGGAUGAUGUUAAUUUUAUAAUGACUCAUUCGGCGCCUUACGGGAAAC